GCUUAACACAUGCAAGUCGAGCGGGCGUAGCAAUACGUCAAGCGGCAGACGGGUGAGUAACGCGUGGGAACAUACCUCUUGGUUCGGAACAACACAGGGAAACUUGUGCUAAUACCGGAUAAGCCCUUACGGGGAAAGAUUUAUCGCCGAGAGAUUGGCCCGCGUCUGAUUAGCUAGUUGGUAGGGUAAUGGCCUACCAAGGCGACGAUCAGUAGCUGGUCUGAGAGGAUGAUCAGCCACAUUGGGACUGAGACACGGCCCAAACUCCUACGGGAGGCAGCAGUGGGGAAUAUUGGACAAUGGGGGCAACCCUGAUCCAGCCAUGCCGCGUGAGUGAUGAAGGCCCUAGGGUUGUAAAGCUCUUUUGUGCGGGAAGAUAAUGACGGUACCGCAAGAAUAAG
rnacentral:rRNA from 1 species